rnacentral:rRNA from 1 species
GUAGUCUCGCACAGAUGCAUAUCAAUAAGCGGAGGAAAAGAAACUAACUAGGAUUCCCUUAGUAACGGCGAGUGAAGCGGGAAGAGCUCAAAUUUGAAAUCUUCAAGGUUUUACCUUGACGAAUUGUAGUUUAAAGAAGUGUUUUCUGUUGAAGUUUUGGUAAAAGUUCUUUGGAAUAGGACAUCAUAGAGGGUGAGAAUCCCGUAUUUGACCAUUAUUUUCAGCUGUGUGAUACACUUUCAAAGAGUCGGAUUGUUUGGGAAUGCAGUCCAAAAUGGGUGGUAAAUUUCAUCUAAAGCUAAAUAUUGGCGAGAGACCGAUAGCGAACAAGUACCGUGAGGGAAAGAUGAAAAGAACUUUGAAAAGAGAGUUAAACAGUACGUGAAAUUGUCAAAAGGGAAGCGUUUGACACCAGUGUUGUUUUCUCGAAAAUCAAUUAAAAAGAGUUUGAUUUUGUUGUGUAUUGACCUUAACAGCUUGCAUUUCAAUUUUCUUGCUUUUUUUAAUGCACUUUUCGUUUAACAAGUCAACAUCAGUUUCUUUUGUUGUAAAAAGGUCAUUGGAAGGUGGCUUUCUUUUCGGAGAAAGUGUUUAUAGCCUUUGACUCCUGCAAUCGGAGAGACUGAGGUCUGCAGCGUAGAUCCUUCGGGGUUAGAUACAUUUGUGCUAAGUUAUAGCUUUUUACAGACAACUUGUUGACUAUGAUUAGUCUUGUAGCUUACUCGCUUAUGCUAUUUUACCUACGCUUAGGAUGUUGAGCGCAUGUCUCUCUCU